rnacentral:rRNA from 1 species
UGGGGAAUUUUGGACAAUGGGCGCAAGCCUGAUCCAGCCAUGCCGCGUGUGUGAUGAAGGCCCUAGGGUUGUAAAGCACUUUCAGUGGGGAAGAUAAUGACGGUACCCACACAAGAAGCCCCGGCUAACUUCGUGCCAGCAGCCGCGGUAAUACGAAGGGGGCUUGCGUUGUUCGGAAUUACUGGGCGUAAAGCGCGCGUAGGCGGACUGAUCAGUUGGGGGUGAAAUCCCGGGGCUCAACCCCGGAACUGCCUCUGAUACUGGUAGUCUAGAGUUCGAGAGAGGUGAGUGGAAUUCCAAGUGUAGAGGUGAAAUUCGUAGAUAUUUGGAGGAACACCAGUGGCGAAGGCGGCUCACUGGCUCGAUACUGACGCUGAGGUGCGAAAGUGUGGGGAGCAAACAGGAUUAGAUACCCCCGUAGUCC